rnacentral:lncRNA from 1 species
AUGCGGCGGUGGAAGUGGAGCGGCUGGCGCUCCCCAGGAGCUCCGCAACGCGAGGUUUCGGGCUCGUGGCUUUGCUUCCUCUGGGUCCCCUCUCCAGGGCCGCUCCGCAAGACGAAGAUGCCGAGGAGAGCGCCGCGGGGAGGGCGCUUCGGGCCGUGCGCGCAGCGCCCACAAAGGGCAGCAGUCCCGCCGCCCGGAGCCUCUGCUGCGUGGGGGCUGAGGGCCGCUUCCCGGCCCCCCGGAGAGUUGGAGACUGUUCUCUGGCCUCGGCCGCGCGGGGGUGAGGUCGGGGGUCGGCGCGGCCGCUACUGCCCCGGCUCCGUCCGGCGCAGCUGCCGCCGCGGCCGCCCCUGGUGCCUGCGCGCCAGCACCCGCCUGCCGGUCCUUGCCCGGCGCCGCUCACUCGCGCGCGCCGCCCCACCCCCCGCCGCCGCCGCCGCCGCCGCCGCCGCCGCCGCCGCCGCCCGCGCACCCUGCUCGGCCUCAGCGAGCGCGACCGACGCGAGUCGCAGCCGCCACCGCCGCUCUCCCCGCGCUCGCCGCACGCGCUGCCAGGCUGCGCGGCCCUCUCUCUUCUCCUCUCCUCUCCCCGCCCGCUGCCGCCGCCACCGCCGCCGCCGCCCUCGCCCCCGCCUCCCUCCUCCGCCGAGCUUCCCCGCCCGCGUCGUGGCCAAUCGGAGGCCACCGAGCUGCGGCUGUAGCCGGCCAGAUCCACGGCAGCCGUCCGCCCCCGCCCUGCCGAAGCACCCCGUUUUUGCUGCAGCCCGCGGGGGGUCGCCGGAGGGAAGUCUGGGGUUUUUGGGGUUUUUGUGCUUUUAGUAUUUGAAAACCAAACUCAAUGUUUCCAUGGAAAAUAUAACCAACUCUACAGAGGACAGGAAGACGUCAGAGCUGCUCUGCACAGACUCCAGAAUUUGUAGGAAAAGAAACGAAGGGGUGGUGACAGGCUGGCAGCGGGGGAGAACCAUGGUGAGCAGGAACACGGACACUUGAAGCCUCCAGUGAGAGUUUCAAACUCAACAUGCCCGGCAAAAGUUAGCAAUGAAUAGAUGAUGAAUUGAGAUAGCUCCUGCCUGAAGGAAAGCAACCUGCUUAGAUCUGAAUAAGCAGGAAAUUCUUCAGUUUGUUCAGCAGAACCUAGAAAAGAUAACCCUAGAAUCUGGCUAAAAUCCUAAAGGCAUUCCAUGUAGUACACGUUUUUUGGUUUGUUUGUUUUGUUUUUAAGAAGCACAAAAUCAGGGUCUCCUGGGUGGCUCAGCUGGUUAAACAUCUGACUUCAGCACAGGUCAUGAUCUCAUGGUUUGCGAGUUCGAGCCCCACAUCGGGCUCUGUGCUGACAGCAUGGAGCCUGCUUGGGAUUCUCUGUCUCCCUCUCUCUCUCUGCCCCUUCCCCAUCUGUGCGUGCUCUCUCCCUCAAAGUAAAUAAACUAAAACAACAACAACA